UUGGAUUUAAACUGCUCUCUGAAGUGCACUGACCUCUCUUCAUGCCUAGAGGGCAGCAUCCUCUGGGUGAAAGAAACAGGACAUUUGCUGCUAGAAAACAGAGUUGGGCUGAAGGGAGACAAAAGCUGCAUUUCUGUCCUCACCAUGAAUCUCCUAAUGGGCAACUACAGAAGAUACACCUGCCAGUUUGUUUUGGCAGACAAGGUCAAGACAGAGGUUCACUACACACCUGUCUUCUCAGAUUCCACAGACUGGCCCCCUCUGAGCUACAUCUUGCUGAUUCUGCGCAUCACAGGACUUAUCCUGAUGAUUAGUAUUAUUGCUGUUGUUUCCACCAGAACCAGAGGAAGCUAAAAGCCACUGAAAGACAUCAAUUAUAAAUGUUGUGAACACACUGAGGACAGAAAGAAGCAGAGACAUGAGGAAGGAUGAAGAGAAUGGUAAGGAGAACAGAGACCAGAUGUUUCUGCCAGACAACUCAUAUAACUCUGUUCAGUAGGAGCGUCAUGAUUUAUUCAGAUACUCAGCAACAUUUGUUUCUCUGUAUCUUAAUAGUGUUAAUUUCAGAAGUUAUUCCACUUUUCUUAUUUCUAAAUAUUCGAGUUUAAACCUUUUCGAGGUUCUCAUUGAGACACAAGGUCUUAUUUUCCAGACAGACUUGUCUUAAAACUGUUAAAAACAAAAUGUAACACAGAAGAUAUUCUGUUGGUGAAAGUUAUGUGAUAGUAAAUAAAAAUACUGUGAGUGUAUUCAUUUUAACAUUGAGAAACCUUUAAUAAAAUUGAUUUCAAUCAAUUUCAUUGUAAAUGUGGAACAACUUCUGGCAGUUAGCUUUGGGCUAUUUGUUAUUAUCUGUUAUUUCGAAAACAAAUGUAACAAAACCCCCGUUGGGGCUUAAGAGGUGAAGUUAUUUUUAUUCUUACCUAUUUUAUAUAUUCUUGUUAAGAUUUGUUUCUUUUAUUCAUUACUGUCUGUUGUUUAGUGUAAUAUGGACCAUGACUCUAUAAUAAAAUGAAUCAAUCAAUCCAAAAUAUUUGUUGGGGUCUGGGAGGCUCUGUCUCCUCUGCUGCCUGCUGUUUCCUUUGGUGUCCUCUAGGUGGGGCCACAGCAUGGUGUCUGAGGGUGAGAGGCGUUUCCCAUCAAGCCUCAUCUUCCCAGCAGUAUAAGAGCAGCCUGCUGUCACACUCAGCUGACCUUCUUCACAUCAAAUACAAAUGAGCCCAUUUAUGUUCGGUUCUGAUGAUAAUUUAUGAUGAAGGAAAACCCAAAAUCUCUGGAUUUGUUCACAGACUAAAAUCCCUCUGGAAGCAGACACACAGAUCCUAAAUCAGACAACAGAAACUCGUCACACAGCACUGAGUUAAUGUGUCGUUGUCUCUAUCUCACCAUAGAGAUGCUGAACAGCCAAACAGAGGCAGAUAAAUCUAAUAUCACAAUUAAAUGCAGACCUGUUCCCAAUGAAACUUCAAAAUUAUCCUUUGAGCAAUCAAAGACACAUCAAAUGGACACAUUCAUGCAGCAAACUGUCUAUGGCAUUUAUUCCUUAAACCACAUAAAAUAUUUUAUUACUCUAAUAAUAUUAAUAAUUUCCUCUGAUAAAAAUCCAGCCAUUCAAGUCCAUGCAUCUGAGUAGGAAGAUCAGUGAAUAAAGAUCAUAAUCAUUAAAGUUCAGUUUGAUUCACUCUGAUCUAUUCUGAUGCAUUCUGGUCCAAACCAGACAGCUAGCAUCUCUUCUUCUACUGAUGUGUCUGGUUGUAGCAUGAGGUCACUAUUAAAUGUCAACAUAAGAGGGGGGAGUUGGGUUCUCAUAGACCUGCUCACAGGCACUGCAUUCUGGGAUUUGUGGUUUAGGUGGUGAAUAGGCUAUCUACUUGUGGGCCAGCUCUAGUUGACCUUUAGAAUUAACUGAUGGGCUAAAUUUGACCCGCGGGUCUGAGUCUGACACCUGUGCUGUCAUUUGUCCACUUUAACCUGUUUGGAUUCUGUUCUGACUCGGUUUAACUGCU